rnacentral:rRNA from 1 species
CGGGUGAGUAAUGCAUCGGAACGUGCCCAGUAUGGGGGAUAACUAGUCGAAAGAUUAGCUAAUACCGCAUACGACCUAUGGGUGAAAGCGGGGGACCUUUACCGGCCUCGCGCUAUCGGAGCGGCCGAUGUCUGAUUAGCUAGUUGGCGGGGUAAAAGCCCACCAAGGCUUCGAUCAGUAGCUGGUCUGAGAGGACGACCAGCCACACUGGGACUGAGACACGGCCCAG